rnacentral:rRNA from 1 species
UACGUAGGGUGCAAGCGUUGUCCGGAAUUAUUGGGCGUAAAGAGCUCGUAGGCGGUCUGUCGCGUCGGCUGUGAAAAUCCAGGGCUCAACCCUGGACCUGCAUUCGAUACGGGCAGACUAGAGUUCGGCAGGGGAGACUGGAAUUCCUGGUGUAGCGGUGAAAUGCGCAGAUAUCAGGAGGAACACCGGUGGCGAAGGCGGGUCUCUGGGCCGAUACUGACGCUGAGGAGCGAAAGCGUGGGGAGCGAACAGG